UGUGAGGAUGGAACAAGGACUUCAAAGUUUCCAGUCCAUGUUGUACUGAAAACUGGAAGUUUCCUGUCAGAGUAUUUUAAACUGGCCUGGAACUUCUGUAGCCAUUUCAUCAGCUUUCCCAGAGGAUGAAACACAGACAUGAAGGAAGACAGAGCCAAGAUAACUACACAGAGGCGGGACUAGAGGUAUACGAUGGCAGAAAUAAUUUUUGACAGAGAAGGAAACAUCCAGGCCAUGGGGUGCUGGCUUGGAAUGCUGUCUUCUAGCAACAAAAUAUGAUAUG